ACCAGCAAAGCGUGGUCUGGUUGCUAACGGUUAGUCUAGAACUGAACGAUGCUGCUCUGUAUUCCCAUUCUGGUGUGUGUCUGUUUAAUUAAAGUUACAAGCCCGUACCAGUACAAUUUUGGGUUCCCAACCAGAAAGUUUUCCAGGAACAUCCAGAUGACGUCCCACUCACAGCUUUACACAUGCACACAGGAGAACACUCCAUGUAGCCAUUACUUACAUGGACAUUAGUGGCCAUAGCUUGGCAGAUAGCAGCUCACUGGUGGGGUGCAGUAAUUGGGAAUCAACUAGGCAGUUCAGGAGACGGACCAAGCUUUAGGGCUGGCCCUGAUGGGGACAGUCAGCAUGAGAUCAUCAGUGAUGGAGUGCGCAUGGUAUUGUGCACAGGGACUGGCUCUGUGAUGUCACCCAAGGGGAGCAGCGCCCCAGCCAGGGUGUGGCGGCAGGAGCCUCUGGUAAUGCUAUGGAAGUGAGGCUGGGCGAGGCAGGCGGGAGGCCGGGCAGGGGCAGGUAGGAGGCUCUAUGGAGCCUAUCUGGUCUAGAGCAUGGCCUCAGCCAGUGCCUCGGAGAGCAUGGGACAGAGGCCAAAAGAAAGCCUCGAUAAAACCAGAGGUGCAGGGCUCUGGGCCAAAACCCUGGCUCCAGGAAGUGACUGGAGCCUGAAGGAAGUGAGGCUGCCCAGGAAUCCCUAGUUCUCUCAGCUCCUCUUCAUCUGAACUCACUCUGGUUCGUCCGCAUCCCUCCGAAUAAGACAGACAGCCACCAUCUUUUCAUGGAGCCUCUGCUGCUCUAACAACUUAUGACCACUUCCCCAAGAGGUGCAGAUUAAGAGAAAGGCUCCAGUGUUGAUCCCACCACUUUUUCUCCUGCUUCUGGCUUGAAUUCUACAUGAAAAAGAAGUCUGAGCAAACCUUGGGAAACCCAGAAGUAAACCAUAAAAGAAAUGCCAGAUUUUCCUAGAUUUUUAAAUACCUGUUCUUACUCAACAGCAUGAGUUUCUGUUUCUGAGAAACAGAAUAAAGAAAACCAGUGACAGAAAAAGAAAUGGAUGAAAUUUUGCUUUGCCUUCCAUUCUAGUCCCCAACUUUAAUUAGACACAUUCUAGACAUAAUGCUCUGCUGGGCUUCCCCUAACUACAAAGUAUAAGCAAUUAUCCUCCAUAUAAAAGCCUCUUCACAUGUGAAUAAUAAAUAUUUGUUCACUUCUCCAAUUCUUACCUUAUGUGAUUAGACAUCUGUGGUAUGUUUACAGAGAUACAACUGGAGAAAUUAAAUGUCUAUUUUUUUUACCAAAUGAAUAUUAAAUGUAAGGAACAUGAUGAAAUACCUCCAUACACUUUAUAGGUAACGUUGUGAGCAUAUUACAUAAUAAUUAUGAUGACAGUGACCGGAGACAAGUCAAUUGCAUCAUCAAGUUUUCCUCAUACCUUUACAUACGGGACUCUGUUUUUGUCUUCAUGAACAGCCAAGUUCGUCUUGGAUACUACAGAGAUAAUAAUGAUGGCAUGCAGAGGAGAGAAGAAAAGUUAAAGACUCAGUAUUGGAGGAUAAAGAGAAAUUGUUACCGAAGACAGGCAAAUCUCAUGUCUUUGCCAUACGCAAGUUUAAGCCUUGGCUGAGAACAAGCAGAUAGUGUAAAGACAAUAAAAGAUCUCUGUAUUUUCAUUAGUUCCUUAAGCAGAAGUGCUGUGAAUCCUUUCAGCCUCCCUGGACCUUAGUUACAGAGCAAAUAGAGGACAAGCAUUCAGGUUACUCACCAUCCAGUAAGUCCCUGAUUUUGUCCAAGUAGAUCUCAAAAUAGGAAACCUAGUUAAAAACAAAUGGAGUUUGAAACAGAAAUGCCACACUGUAUUUAAAAACUAUCACUAUUAAAACUCAUAGAAGGUCUUUGGCAUGUACGGCUAAGAAGAGCAAGAAGACGGGCCACAAAGUGAAGAGUUGGUCGACUCUCCGGGCUCUCCAGCCUCCUGUCGCAUCAGCCUGCUCUGCGGGCCGCCGCCCAGUGCGGCCACUCUCCGUGCUUGACGGCCUCUGUGGUCUUGACUCGGGUGCUCCUUACAUUGUGUGCUGGGCAUCCACUCACAGAACGACUCUCCUUUUCACCCUAUGUGAGCGCCAAGCAAACUUCUAGGUAGGACAACAGCUGCAACAGAAACGUCCUUCACGAGCAAUUGUCAAAAAUCAGUAGGCCUCUCCUCAUGUGUGACACUGACACCCUCACCAGACUGGGAUGAAACACUCACAUGAAGAAGUAGGGACUGGAAUAAGGGCACUUUGCUUGGAACUACAAGAGCUCAAAGGCAACAGGGAGAGAGCUGCUGAUGGUGGCCAGCUUUGGGGAGUCCAGGAAGGGUCCGAACAAAAUGUGAUUUAAUGAAAGACAGACUGGACUGCAAGAGGGAAAGGAAGCCUUCCCAUCAAUUGUUCUCAAACGCCAGCCCAGAACCACCUGCAUCAGCAUCAUCCAUAGCCUUUGUUUAAAUUGCAGAGUCAUGAACCCUAUUGUAGUCCUCCUGAAUCAGAAUCUCCAGGAACAGGUCCUAGGAAUCUGCUUCUAAUCCCUGGUUAGUUCUUAUGUCAGCUGACAUCUGAGAACAGCUUUAACUAGAUAUGCGAUCUUGGGGGUUUAAUUCACAUGUAACCGAGACGAGAGGCCUCAGUUUUCCCAUCUGUCAAAUGAAGCCAUUUGGACUCGAUGAUGUCAAAAAUUCUGUCUAGGAUUCUGCACUUUUUGUCUACACCUGCCUUCUGCCUCUCAGAUCAACUUCUCUUUCUCUCAUGUUUAUGGGUUUUCUUGAAACCUAAACAAAGGAAUGGAUAAACAAGUUGUUAAGGAAGAAAAAAGGUGCCAAAAUAGUUGUAAAGUUGGAGUGUAACUCUACAGGUGAAACCUCACCCCUGCAUCCUAGCUCUGAACCAGUUCUACCUCUGGUUGUGGGAAGUGAAGCUUCCCCAACUCAAGGCUAGUCCUCACCAACUCAGCCCCACUUAUUACCUUGUCUGUAUCUCAGCCUGGAGCCUAGUGACUUCCCAGUUUCUCUGAGAGCUGGGGCUUCAAACUCUGGAACCUGUACCUGGCCAUCCUCUCCACGUUUCCUGUCUCCCUAACAACCUGAGCCUACCUGAUCAUCUGUCAAACUCCCCAGUCACCAAGUCUCGCGCAUCACAGACACACCUAGUUGACCUUGGAAAGAAUCACUGCUCCUGAAACUUCUUCCUGUGGCUGGAAUCCUAGGGUCUGUUUGGCCUCUAAUCUUACACAUCUCUCAUUCAGCCUCCCUGUGGCCAACUCAACCCUGGUUCCAACCCAUUCUAUUGCAUUUCAAGACUGCCUGGCUUUCAUUAAGACUUCUGCAUCUUUGAGGGGCACCUGGGUGGCUCAGUCAGUUAAGUGUCUGACUUUGGCUCAUGGUCUCGUGGUCUGUGAGUUCAAGCUCCACAUCGGGCUU